rnacentral:lncRNA from 1 species
GCCACCCCUUAUCCUCCUUGCCAUGGGCUCCAUUAUGGGCAUCCCCUUGCUGAUAUGAGGUAUCACCCCUGGGCAUCUCUCUCCUCUCUUGGUGGCCUUGCGAAGUCAUUUCAAUCUGAAACUAUCCCACUUUCCUGUAGAGCUUGACGUGCGCGCAAAGUAGAGGGCCUGCAGAUCUAGGCUUACGCAAGAAUUUGAAUCCAGAUUUUAGAGAUUUGAUCUCUAUUC